rnacentral:rRNA from 1 species
AGCAGCCGCGGUAACUCCAGCCCCAAUAGCGUAUAUUAAAGUUGUUGCAGUUAAAAAGCUCGUAGUUGAAUUUCGGGGUUAGUAGGUUGGUCAUGCCUCUGGUAUGUACUGGUCUCACUGAUUCCUCCUUCCUGAUGAACCUUAAUGCCAUUUAUUUGGUGUUUUGGGAAUUUGGACUGUUACUUUGAAAAAAUUGAGUGUUUAAAGCAAGCUAACGCUUGAAUACAUUAGCAUGGAAUAAUGAAAUAGGACGUUCGAUCCUAUUUUGUUGGUUUCUAGGAUUGACGUAAUGAUUAAUAGGGAUAGUUGGGGGCAUUAGUAUUCAAUUGUCAGAGGUGAAAUUCUUGGAUUUAUUGAAGUACUAACUACUGCGAAAGCAUUUGCCAAGGAUGUUUUCAUUAAUCAAGUAACGAAAGUUAGGGGAAUCGGAAGACGAUCAGAUACCGUCGUAGUCUUAACCAUAAACUAUGACCGACUAGGGAUCGGAUGAUUGUUAAUUUUUAUGUACUNAUUCGGCGUCCUUACGGGAAACCUAAAGGUGGUUUUAC